CAAAAACACACGCGAUUUUUAAACACGAAACGCGGUGCGCGGGCAACGCGCAGAUCGGCAAAUGAUGCCGCGCGAGAGAUUGCGCAGUUUUAAUAAAGCUGUUUGUGACGUCACCCCAGCGCCUUCGGACCAUUCAGCAGGUGCUUCAUUGGACCCGGCAAGGAAAGCGGAAGCAUGGCCGUCCCAAGAAAACCUAGCGUCGUACAGUUGCAGGUGUGACAAAGAGAGCCGGAAUGACUUGGAGCGAGGGGACAUAGGCUCAAGACCAAACGUGAUGGAGAUUCAUUGUGGACGCCCUCUGCCCCAAGUCUAGAUAGAAUAUUUUACCGCAAUGCCCGUAGGGCUGGUGGGAUUGAACAUCAUCUUUUCUUCGCCUGCUCCCGUUAUCAUGGCGGUCAUGUCGGAGAUCCAUCUCGACGAACUAUCAGAGAUAUUCAAUAGAACACUUAUGUCAGGGCAC